UCGGGAUAACACCUGGAAACAGAUGCUAAUACCGGAUAACAACAGAUGAUGCCUAUCAACNGGUUUUUAAAAGAUGGUUCUGCUAUCACUCUUGGAUGGACCUGCGGUGCAUUAGCUAGUUGGUAGGGUAACGGCCUACCAAGGCGAUGAUGCAUAGCCGAGUUGAGAGACUGAUCGGCCACAUUGGGACUGAGACACGGCCCAAACUCCUACGGGAGGCAGCAGC
rnacentral:rRNA from 1 species